rnacentral:rRNA from 1 species
UGCGCAGGCUGAGAAAUAAGUCAGUGGUGAAAUCCUAUGGCUCAACCAUAGAACUGCCAUUGAAACUAUUUUACUAGAGUGCAGUUGAAGUGGGCGGAAUGUGUCAUGUAGCGGUGAAAUGCAUAGAUAUGACACAGAACACCGAUCGCGAAGGCAGCUCACUAAGCUGUAACUGACGCUCAUGCACGAAAGCGUGGGUAGCGAACAGGAUUAGAUACCCUGGUAGUCC